GCACGUACAAACUCCAAAACACGUAAAAACUCCAAAACACGUACAAAACACAACAGAAGUGCUCCAGGAUGCUCGGCGCAGUGUUGAACUUUUGUUACCUAGAGCCUACACAGCCAGCAAGUACCAACGACCGGAUUUGGUGUGUGGCAGUAGCAGGUUGCUAUGGUAGCAGAUACAGGGAGAACAAGUGUAGACGAUGCCACAUGAAGGAUGAUGAAAUUCCUCAUAUCACCUGAGCUGGCUGUGGAGUACAACAUGCUUGGCCGACAUGGGAAAAAAAGUUCAGAGAUUUGCGUCUUUUUAAUGUUGUGUAUGAGACACUGAAGAAGAAUUAUUUAACAUCAAAAGUCAACUUGCAAGAAGCAGAGAAGGCUCUGUCCAAGUGGUUCACUGGAGCUAAAGACAGAGGAGGACUGAGGGCUGCAAGGGUACAAAAUAGACUUACGGCUCUGUAAAAAAAACAAAAAACGAAACCCUGCUGAUUCAAGAUAAACUUUUGAGUUUUCCAUCUGACUUUUUCCCCAUGUUGCUACAGUUCCAAAUAUCUAAGGAAUUUUGCUGUAGUUUGACAUUUCUAGUUUUUUAAAAGUUUACGCACUUUGGUAUACAGUUACGUAAAAUCACAGUUGUUGGACAAAAUAAAUGUGAAAAAUGUUG